ensembl:lncRNA
UAUAUAUAUUUUCGUACUUAUAUUAAGUACAUUAAUAUCACAUACUUUAAGACUUAUACUCAAGUUAUAUUCUAAAGGGUGACUUCAGCUAUUACCAAAGUCAUUUUCUGGUAAAACAUCUUUACUUUUACUUGAGUAUGGCUUUCAGGUACUUUAUACACCACUGGUUGCAGGUCCAGGAAACUCAGUUGUGGUGGGCGUUUAAAACAGUGAGUAUCACACCUCAGAUCUGAGUUUGUAUAACAUCACGCUGGUAAAAUAUCUGAAGUGUGAAGCAGACUCCAAUUCACUCCUUUUUCUCCAUAAGCUCAUCAAAGCCUGCAGAUCAAAUUCAGAUCAGAAACCAUGAGAAAGUCUUGUUUUCUGGCGUUCGGACUGGUCCUACUGAUGGCCUGGACUUCUGAGAAUCAAACUCAAGCUUCUCCAGUCUCUGAAAGGGUUUCAACAUCUAUAGGCAAAUUUUGUGUGCAACUAGAUAGUGCUGGGAGAAAUAGAGAAACAGAUAAUGUGAUAGGACCAGCAAACCUUGCAUCAACUAAUCUCCAAAAUAUACCCAAGAAAACAGAUCUUAUCCCAAAGACAACCACUCUACCGAAGAAAACAGAUCCUACACCGAAGAAAACAGAUCCUACACCGAAGAAAACAGAUCUUACCCCAAAGACAACCACUCUACCGAAGAAAACAGAUCCUACACCGAAGAAAACAGAUCUUACCCCAAAGACAACCACUCUACCGAAGAAAACAGAUCCUACACCGAAGAAAACAGAUCCUACACCAAAGAAAACCACCUUACCAAAGAAAACAAAUCCUACGCCAAAGAAAACCACCCUACCGAAGAAAACAAAUCCUACACCGAAGAAAACAGAUCCUACACCGAAGACAACCACCCUACCGAAGAAAACAAAUCCUACGCCAAAGAAAACAAAUCCUACGCCAAAGAAAACAAAUCCUACCCCAAAGAAAACCACCCUACCGAAGAAAACAAAUCCUACCCCAAAGACAACCACCCAAAGAAAACCGAUCCUACCCGUAAGACAACCACCCGAAGAAAACAUCCAACAAUCCUACCCCAAAAACAACAACCGUUAUUGCUAA